rnacentral:lncRNA from 1 species
AUGACCCGAGGGAAUGGCCUGGAAUUGUAUCCGGGGAGGUUUAGGUUGGGUAUUAGAAAAAGGUUCUUCCCCCAGAGGGUGGCUGGGCACUGGAACAGGCUCCCCAGGGAAGUGGUCACAUCACCAAGCCUGACAGAGUUCAAGAAGCACCUGGACAACGCUCUCAGGCACGUGGGCUCUUGGGGCUGUCCUGUGCAGGGCCACGAGUUGCACCCGAUGGUCCCUGCGGGUCCCCUCCGACUCAGGAGAGGGUGUCACACCCCCGGCUCCCCCGCGCCGCUCCCAGCGCCUCCCGCCAGCGCCCCCUGCCGCGCCCCGCCGGCACCGCAGCAAUGGCGGCCCCCACGGCGCCCGCGUGACUCCGACGCCGCUGCCGCACAGGCCCACGGUGCUCUGUUCUGUGGGGAACUCGGUGGCAGGAGCACAGCCAGAGGAAAUGUGAAGAGGUAGGGCGAACAUAAAGCAAGUUGGUUGCAGUAACUCAUCCACAUGGUGGAGUCUGGAUAAGAGCUGUCAGGAGGGCUUUUUAUCCAGUUUGAGGCUGAGUGAUAGCAAUCUUGAACCACAGUUUUAGAGGAGUGGCACCAAAAAGCCUGAUGUUAAUGCUGAGUGCUUUACAGGACGAGUAACACUCCCUGCUUCCUCAGCUGCCUGAAAAUCAAGCCAUAGAUACUGACCUUCCAUCCAUAUAAG